GCCCCGGACUCCGGGAUAGCUACCCGAAAGGGUAGGUAAUACCGGAUGACAUAACCUUUCCGCAUGGUGAGGUUCUCAAAGGUCCGCCGGUUUGGGAGCGGGCGAUUUCGUAUCAGCUAGUUGGUGGGGUAACGGCCCACCAAGGCGACGACGCGUAGCCGGACUGAGAGGUUGGCCGGCCACAUUGGGGACUGAGACACUGCCCAG
rnacentral:rRNA from 1 species